rnacentral:rRNA from 1 species
GAUGAACGCUCGCUACAGGCUUAACACAUGCAAGUCGAGGGGAAACGACAUCGAAAGCUUGCUUUUGAUGGGCGUCGACCGGCGCACGGGUGAGUAACGCGUAUCCAACCUGCCCACCACUUGGGGAUAACCUUGCGAAAGUAAGACUAAUACCCAAUGAUAUCUCUAGAAGACAUCUGAAAGAGAUUAAAGAUUUAUCGGUGAUGGAUGGGGAUGCGUCUGAUUAGCUUGUUGGCGGGGUAACGGCCCACCAAGGCAACGAUCAGUAGGGGUUCUGAGAGGAAGGUCCCCCACAUUGGAACUGAGACACGGUCCAAACUCCUACGGGAGGCAGCAGCGAGGAAUAUUGGUCAAUGGACGAGAGUCUGAACCAGCCAAGUAGCGUGCAGGAAGACGGCCCUAUGGGUUGUAAACUGCUUUUAGAAGGGAAUAAAGUGAGUCUCGUGAGACUUUUUGCAUGUACCUUAUGAAUAAGGACCGGCUAAUUCCGUG